rnacentral:rRNA from 1 species
AAAGCAAUAGCUGAUUGCAUUUAAUUUAAUGUAGUUACUACUUGGUAGUUUAAAUUUCUAGGUAGAAUUAUGAUGAUGACAUUAUCUAUCUAUUAGUCUUGACCAAAUUACGUGCCAGCUGUCGCGGUAAUACGUAGAAGACAAGUGUUAUUCAUCUUUAUUUGGUUUAAAGAGUACCAAGACGGUUAAUAAAGCCCAAAAUAAAUGAAUACGGGGGACACAUUAACUAGAGUUAUAUGAAAGGAAGCUCUAAGGUACUAUUGAGUGUAGAGAUGAAAUUUUAUGAUACCAGAUGAUUGGCACAGAUUUAUGCGAAGGCAUCUUCUUAUGUAAUAACUGACGUUGUAGGACGAAGGCUUAGGAAAUAAACAGGAUUAGGUACCCCAGUAAUCUAGGCAGAAAAUGAUGAAUGUCAUAGGUUGAAUUCAGACAGGUUAAAUUGCUUAUCUAAUAGUAAAUAGGUGGCAUAUUAAUCAGUCUAUUAUUGUGUCUAUAAAUGAAAGUGUAAGCAUUCCACCUCAAGAGUAAUUUGGCAACAUUGGAACUGAAAUCAUUAGACCGUUUCUGAAACCAGUAGUGAAGUAUGUUGUUUAAUUAGAUGAUACACAAAAACCUUACCACAAUUUGAAUAUAUAUAAAAUAUAUUUACAUGCGCUGCACGGCUGUCUACAGUUAAUGUCGUGAGACUUUGGUUAGCUCCAGUAAAUUGACGUAAACCCUAAUUUUAUUUAUAAAUAUAAUUAACAUUGCUAUAUCAGAUGAAUAAGAGKCAWCANGRCA